rnacentral:rRNA from 1 species
UACGGAGGGUGCAAGCGUUAUCCGGAUUCACUGGGUUUAAAGGGUGUGUAGGCGGGUAUUUAAGUCAGUGGUGAAAUCUCUGGGCUCAACCCGGAAACUGCCAUUGAUACUAUUAGUCUUGAAUUUUGUUGAGGUAGGCGGAAUAAGUCAUGUAGCGGUGAAAUGCAUAGAUAUGACUUAGAACACCAAUUGCGAAGGCAGCUUGCUAAACAAAUAUUGACGCUGAGGCACGAAAGCGUGGGGAUCAAACAGG